rnacentral:lncRNA from 1 species
UCUUGUGCACUGUAGCAAUCUCAAAACUGAUUUCCUGAUGAUAAUUAUUUAUAGAUGGAAUAGCUUAUUAAUAGGAACUUAUUUCAAAAUCAGGUGAUGGCAUAGAUUGCCUAGUAGAUAGAUGUACGUUUUUCAAAUUACUGAAGGAAUUUGUUACUCCUGUUUCUGACUUCUCUGCAAAUGCUAAAAAAAAUUCCAGACAAGGUCACUGCAAGCACAUUUUCCAUCUGUCAGUUGGGGAAAAAAUGGCAUCAGUAGGGAAUAAAAACUUCGAAACAACUGGUACUUUCUGAGGGCCUAUGACCUAUCUGAACUAAUUAAGCACUCUUUGAAGUACCAGUAUUUCAGCCUUCAUAAUACAUCAUGCAUAGUCAUUGCCUUUUUUUUUCUGGAGCAGCAAACUGCAAUGCAGCAGAUGGGAUUUCCAAGAGUAUUGCCCUGUCCUCACUUAUGUUGGAGUCAAUGAGAGUUUUCACAUCGAUAUUUAUGGGAAAGAGAAUCCCAUGGAACACGUGGAGUCCCUCUGUCAGGAUAUCUCUCACCAGCCUGGAAUCCUGGAGUGAGGCUUCAUCUGUGACCAGAUGCCUUUGAAAUGGUGAAACUUUGGAAUGGUGUGGAUGGUACAUCUCAGCCCUAGACAGAUGUCUAAAAUCACAGAGAAGAAUCACACUCUGGAGGUGCUAGACUGUCUGUCGACUUUCAAGUGAAUCCAGAUGAGCAGCUGGAACAAGAUACUUCAUUCUGGAUAGCUAAAAUUAGGUGAUAUGUAUCUAUACCAAUUACCUACAAAUUCUUGCUGCCAGCAUGGCUUACAAGGACUAGUUUAGAUUAUGUGUACUUGUCAGGGAGCAAUGAGUGAAAUUUGUUUUGACAUUGUUUCACUCUAAUGCGGCAGAAGAUGGUAAGAAUAUGCAAGCACAGGGUCCUUCUGCAUAAUUUGUAUAAUGAUGAUGAUUAUGGUACUGGCAACAUUUGUGAGAAAGAGAGCAAUUGACAGAGGAUGGGAAGAAGCACAAGCAAAUAAACUAACACAAUGAUCUAAUCUCA